AACAUAGCCUUUUGAUAGAAAAUAAAAGGUGAUUUCUGCCCAGUGAUAUUUUAACGGCCGCGGUAACCUGACCGUGCUAAGGUAGCAUAAUAACUUGUCUCUUAAUUUGAGAAUAGAAUGAAUGAAUAAACAAUAAGAAUACUGUCUCAUUGCAAAAUAUAAAAAUUUAUAUAAAGGUGAAAAAGCCUUUAUUUCAUAAAAAGACAAAAAGACCCUAGAAGCUCAUAAAUCUAUAUAAUAAAUUAAUAAUAAUUUUUUAGCUGGGAGGGCAUAAAGAAAAUUCAACGCUUUUUAAAAAAAAGAAACAUAUCACCAUAAAUCAACCCCAAUAAGAAUAUAAGUAAGCUACUCUAGGGGUAACAGGCUAAUACUCCUUAAGAGUACAUAUUGACAGGAGUGUUUGGCACCUCGAUGUUGGCUUAGGAAUCUUAUUUUAUGCAGAAGUAAAAUCAAGUGGUUUGUUCAACCUUUAAUUUCCUACAUGAUC
rnacentral:rRNA from 1 species